rnacentral:rRNA from 1 species
AACGAACGCUGGCGGCAUGCCUAACACAUGCGAGUCGAACGAGAUCUUCGGGUCUAGUGGCGCACGGGUGCGUAACGCGUGGGAAUCUGCCCUUUGGUCCGGAAUAACAGUUGGAAACGACUGCUAAUACCGGAUGAUGACGAAAGUCCAAAGAUUUAUCGCCAGAGGAUGAGCCCGCGUAGGAUUAGCUAGUUGGUGUGGUAAAGGCGCACCAAGGCGACGAUCCUUAGCUGGUCUGAGAGGAUGAUCAGCCACACUGGGACUGAGACACGGCCCAGACUCCUACGGGAGGCAGCAGUGGGGAAUAUUGGACAAUGGGCGAAAGCCUGAUCCAGCAAUGCCGCGUGAGUGAUGAAGGCCUUAGGGUUGUAAAGCUCUUUUACCCGGGAUGAUAAUGACAGUACCGGGAGAAUAAGCUCCGGCUAACUCCGUGCCAGCCGCCGCGGUAA